rnacentral:rRNA from 1 species
UGCCAGCAGCCGCGGUAAUACGGAGGGUGCAAGCGUUAAUCGGAAUUACUGGGCGUAAAGCGCGCGUAGGCGGCUUGGUCAGUCGGAUGUGAAAGCCCCGGGCUUAACCUGGGAAUUGCAUUCGAUACUGCUGAGCUAGAGUAUGGGAGAGGGAAGUGGAAUUUCAGGUGUAGCGGUGAAAUGCGUAGAGAUCUGAAGGAACAUCAGUGGCGAAGGCGACUACCUGGACUGAUAUUGACGCUGAGGCGCGAAGGCGUGGGUAGCGAACGGGAUUAGAUA